GGGCAAUGGAAAGGAAUUUCUUGGGAAUUUCAUGACUCCACCGCCUCCCCCCCGGCCCCGCCCCACCCCACCCCAGCCUACCCCACCCUACCCUACAAGGCGCGACCCGGCUGAUCCCUGCCCUGCGGGAACCCGAUUUCUCGCCAGCGAACUGCUCUCAGAGGCUACCGAGCGUUCCCGCCUCGCCGCAGGAACCCUUCCAGCUCGCCCUCGGGCUCUGGGGACCGCUCCGCAGCGGGGCCUCCCGGAAUUCCCUGCCGAUCUCCGCGGGCACACUUGGCUGGCUGCUGCGGCCAAAACUACCUUCGCGUGGCAGGGUCCUCCCUCCUCCUCACAGACACCCCGACAUCACCCUCAAAACUGGAAGGGACAGCCCCGAGUGAUCUAGGCGAUGGUGGAUACCUGGAAGGCCACCCAUGGAAAAGCACUGUGCCUUCCAGAAGCCCCUGGUGGAGGAAGCACUGCUUCUGAGCCACAGAGACUGCUGAUCGAUGGACUAUUUUAUCACCGCUUCUAAACUAUGGCUCUAAACCUAACACAGAGGGUAAUGGUAGUGCUGUAUCCAUUCAUUCACUCAUUCACUCAAUAAAUAUUUGCUGAGCACCA